ACUCAGUAAGAAAACCCAGCAGAACAUUUACUUCUCUCUUUAUUCCAGAGCAUCAAUGGCCAAGGCUGGACGAUCCCAUAAUACUGAACAGACAUUUGGUCUCUUAUGGCCUGCCAAUUUUCACAGCUUGGUGCAUUUGACACUUCAUGAUAUCAGCCAAAGUGGAACUAAAAACAGCUCCUGGAAGAGGACUAUGACAUCAUCAGGUUGGGAGUCUCCAGGGACAGCGGACCCUUUGGAAAAGGACUAGAAAGUGUGAAAUCUAUCAGUCUUCGAUAUGAAAUUCUCUGUCUCCGUAAAAGCAUUUCAUAUUUACAAGACACAGGCCUACUCCUAGGGCAGCAAAAAGUGGCAACAGGCUAGCAGAGGGAAAAGAGAUCAUGAGGCAUUUCAGAGUGCACUGUCUUUUCAUAUAUUUCUCAAUGCCGUAUGUUUGGUUUUAUUUUGGCCAAGCAUAACAAUCUGCUCAAAAAAAAAAAUCUGGAGAAAACAAAGGUGCCUUUGCCAAUGUUAUGUUUCUUUUUGGCAAGCCCUGAGAUUUCUGAGGGGAAUUCACAUAAAUGGGAUCAGGUCAUUCAUUUACGUUGUGUGCAAAUAUGAUUUAAAGAUACAACCUUUGCAGAGAGCAUGCUUUCCUAAGGGUAGGCACGUGGAGGACUAAGGGUAAAGCAUUCUUCAAGAUCAGUUAAUCAAGAAAGGUGCUCUUUGCAUUCUGAAAUGCCCUUGUUGCAAAUAUUGGUUAUAUUGAUUAAAUUUACACUUAAUGGAAACAACCUUUA
rnacentral:lncRNA from 1 species